rnacentral:tRNA from 1 species
GGCUUCGUAGCUCAUCUGGUAGAGCGCUUACAGCGUUGAGGUACAGUGUUUCUAUCGUUGGUUCGAAUCCAGUCGAAGCCC